rnacentral:lncRNA from 1 species
UCACUUAGAGUUUUAGUUUAGUUUUAUUGAGACUUUCCCUGAGACCUUGGAGCAUAUGGUGGGAUGGGAGUACAAAUAAACAAACAAACCCAGCGUGAAUCUAAGCAGGCAGCCCUGUUGCUUAGCAGAAACAAACUCUGAGGCCACAGACCAGAAGUCCGCUUGUUCUGAAGCAGCGCCUGCUGCCCAAUCUUCCGCUCCUGCCCCAGUUUCAGUUUUAGUAAGCCUGUACAAACCAGCCUGGCAAGGUGCCCAACCCGCAGAUGCCUGAUGCCCGUUUGUUUGCGUGCAGGGCAUGGAAAGGAAGCCAAAGCCAGAGGUGGACUACGCCAGCAGAGAGCAAGGGAGCUGCGCUGGGAGCGACAAGAGCUUGGACAGAGUGAACGAUGGAGCAGGGGACAGACCAGGCAGAGGUUCCUUUCCGCACCCAAUUCUAAUGGCGGGAAUUGUCUUUUCCAGGGAGAGGGCGAUAAAGAUGGAAGGCUUGCUGAAGAAGGUGCUAGCAGAGAACCAGCAGCUGAAAAGUGCUGUCCUCUUCCUGAAGCAGCAGAGCAAAGAGAAGGACACUGAUGUGGACAACUGCAGGAGGUCCAAAGAGAAACUUCUGUCAGAAAUCGGCUCCCUCUUGACAGAAAUUGCCUUUCUGAAGGAGGUACGAGAGCAGCUGAGGUACAAGGACCCAGAAUCCAGGAAGGAAACCACCAAGGCCCUUACGGAAACCAUCCAAGCCAAGCUGGAGGUGGCUCACGCGAAGAUCGAGGCGGCGGAGGCCAAGAAGGAGACCUUGGAGGCCCAGAGGAGGGCCGAGGAGGCCAAGGAGUCGGCGGAAGCCGCUCAAGCCCGGGAGGACAGCCUCUUGUCCUACGUCUCCAAAAUCGCCACCCUGGCCUACCAGCAGGCUGCCGAGGCCGAGUAUGACUGCGCCCAGGCCCGGAAGGCGAUGGCCGCGGCAGAGGCCAUCAACGUGGCUGCCUUCAGCGAUGCCCGAGGGCACCGCGGCCACAAGCUCCAGCACGAGAAGCACCACCGGAGCUCCCGGAGCAGCCACAGCGACUGCCGGUGUCACCACCACCACGGCCACCACCACGGCCACCACCACGAGCACCGCAGCCACUACGAGACCCAGAGCAACCAGGCCCACUCCGACCUGGAGACCCUGAGCAGCACCCGAUGAGGGCGGGAGGG